CGCAUGUUAAUCAUUUAGUUUGUGAUAUCACCAUCCGAAUCAGCUAUCCCGCAUUCUUUGUAUAAACAUUCACACUAAGCGGCAGUUGAAUCAAUUGUGCACAGAUAUUAUUAUUACGGGCUUGUUUGUCACAUAGUAAAAUUCGAUUGUUUAGAGGAAAAGGUAUUUAUCAUGAUGGCAAGACUUUCAGGGGGCUCCUACGACCUCGGUCCUACAUCUGAAAUCUCUCUAGAUGACUCAAAAAUCGAGAAUGAGAUCCUCGACAAGGAGAAGCGGCGACUGCACAUCCGGUGGGGAGCCGCUUUCAGCGUUGCCGUAGUAAUCAUUUUGGGUUUAAUAAUCGGAAUCGCCUUAAAGGGAAAAGGGAACGAUGCGUCUCCGUCUCAGCAAAAUGGUAAUCAAUCGACGAGUCUGCCGACUCCUCUGUCGACGCUACUGCCGACGCCUCUGUCGACGCCACUGCCGACGCAUCUGUCGACGCCUCUGUCGACGCCUCUGUCGACGCCUCUGUCGACGCCACUGCUGACUCCUCUGUCGACGUCACUGUCGACGCCUCUGUCGACGCCACUACCGAGUCCUCUGUCGACGUCGAUGACGACGCCUCUGUCGACGCCUCUGUCGACGCCACUGUCGACGCCUCUGUCGACGCCUCUGUCGACGAUUCUGCCGACUCCUCUGUCGACGCCACUGCCGACGCCUCUGUAGACGCCUCUGUCGACGCCACUGCCGACGCCUCUAACGACGCCACUGCCAACACAAGUUCCAACAACUUCGAUACCGAUCAUAAAGGAAGCGAUCUUUCCGCAGUCAUUAGGCAACCCGUCAAUCGGAAACUUAUCGAUGUUUUAAGUUAUAAUAUGUAUGGACUCAAACAUGUGUAUACGUUACAAUAGUCAUCCAUCAUAACAAAAAGAAAUGGGUCCUUGAGACUAUUUGAUACUCAUCAAUAAACUUGUAAAUAUCACGAAUACUCAUUUAAUUCCAUUUAUGUAUGUAUGCACUCAGCGUGCAGUUAUCACUCAUGAACGCAAAUAAACACAAUUAUGAAUA